rnacentral:rRNA from 1 species
CUUGGUCAUUUAGAGGAAGUAAAAGUCGUAACAGGGUUUCCGUAGGUGAACCUGCGGAAGGAUCAUUCAUAACGAGUGUUUAUGGCACUCUAAAAAUCCAUACCCACCUUGUGUGCAGCGUUAAGAGUCUUUUGUCUCUCUUUCAGAGGGCACGAGAUUUCUUUUAAUUAAUCUACCUUAAACCAGUUUGUCUGAAGCAUUGUAUCAUGAAUAAACAUAAUUCAAAAUACAACUUUCAACAACGGAUCUCUUGGCUCUCGCAUCGAUGAAGAACGCAGCGAAAUGCGAUACGUAAUGUGAAUUGCAGAAUUCAGUGAAUCAUCGAAUCUUUGAACGCACAUUGCGCUCUCUGGUAUUCCGGAGAGCAUGCUUGUUUGAGUAUCAGUAAAACACCCUCAGUUCUCUUUUUGAGAACUGGACUUGAGUCAUCCCAACGGCAGUUUCAAAACUACUGGCGGGUCGCUUGAAAUGCAGGUGCGGCUGGACACAUCUUCUGAGCUAUAAGCAUUACUUAUUUAAUCCCGUCAGACGGAUUAUUUCUACUGCUACAGCUAUAUAAGGUCGAUUGUCCGUUUGCCCGACUGAUGCAGAAAAAACAGAGAGAAAUCUUUGUUCACUCGAUCUCAAAUCAAGUAAGACUACCCGCUGAACUUAAGCAUAUCAAUAAGCGGAGGA